GAACGGUCAGCGGGAGAGAUCCUUUGCGCCUGAACGGGCGGAAAGGGCGCCGAAGGAGCAACCGCCCCGGAAACUCUCAGGCCAAUGGACCGCUGACUGGAU
rnacentral:ncRNA from 1 species